rnacentral:rRNA from 1 species
UAGGGAAUCUUCGGCAAUGGACGAAAGUCUGACCGAGCAACGCCGCGUGAGUGAAGAAGGUUUUUCGGAUCGUAAAAACUCUGUUGGUAGAGAAGAACGUUGGUGAGAGUGGAAAGCUCAUCAAGUGACGGUAACUACCCAGAAAGGGACGGCUAACUACGUGCCAG